rnacentral:rRNA from 1 species
GGAAUAUUGGACAAUGGGCGCAAGCCUGAUCCAGCCAUGCCGCGUGCAGGAUGACGGUCCUAUGGAUUGUAAACUGCUUUUGUACAGGAAGAAACACUGGUUCGUGAACCAGCUUGACGGUACUGUAAGAAUAAGGAUCGGCUAACUCCGUGCCAGCAGCCGCGGUAAUACGGAGGAUCCAAGCGUUAUCCGGAAUCAUUGGGUUUAAAGGGUCCGUAGGCGGUCUUGUAAGUCAGUGGUGAAAGCCCAUCGCUCAACGGUGGAACGGCCAUUGAUACUGCAGGACUUGAAUUAUUGGGAAGUAACUAGAAUAUGUAGUGUAGCGGUGAAAUGCUUAGAUAUUACAUGGAAUACCAAUUGCGAAGGCAGCCCCCUGGGUCAAGAUUGACGCACAUGCACGAAAGCGUGGGGAGCAAACAGGAUUAGAUACCUAG